AUGGUGUAUCUCUGCAGCAUUGGUGCACUUUGUGCAACCAUGCGCAUGUAUCUUACAUUGCUGAUGUUUAACUCCCUCUCAUGCUUGUGCUUGCAGGACAUCUGGCAUCAUAUACAUUCCUUAAUGCCAUUGAAAGAUGCUGCCAGAGCCGCCUGCCUGUCUCGGUCCUUUCUGUCUUCCUGGAGAUGCCAUUCGAUCCUCAUUUUGAACAGGGAAGCAUUUGGGUUGGACGUAUGUGCGGAUCACAAGGAAACAACUAGAACUUUUAGAAGCAAAAUUGACCACAUUCUGGGAAACCACUCGGGUACUGGCGUGAGAAUACUGAAACUUCGGUUAGUUUCAAAUGACAAAGCGAAGAACCGUGAUUAUAUCGACAAAUGGCUUCAUAAGGCUGUUAAACCAGGAAUUGAAGAACUCACCCUUACUAUGCCUAUGAGCAACAAACGCAAAUACGAGUUCCCGUGCACACUUAUAUCAAAUGGGCUGGGAAACUCACUCCAGUGUCUUUACCUUUCCGAUUGUUCCUUUCAUCCUAUGGCUGGGCACUGUGGCUUGAGUAGCCUGACAAAACUAGAGCUGUUAAUGGUGGGUAUCACGGGGGACGAGCUAAGCUGUCUUGUUUCCAGUUCUGCAGCUUUGGAGCAGGUUUUACUCAGGGAUUGCAGUAAGGUACUGCUUGAGGAUACCUUGCCAUCUUGA
rnacentral:rRNA from 1 species